UGGGGUGUAGCUCAGUGGCAGAGGACUUGCCUAAAGUGUAAAGCCCUGGGUUUGAUUCUCAGUACCUCAA
rnacentral:tRNA from 1 species